rnacentral:rRNA from 1 species
GAUGAACGCUAGCGAUAGGCCUAACACAUGCAAGUCGAGGGGCAUCACAUGAAGUAGCAAUACGGAUGGUGGCGACCGGCGCACGGGUGAGUAACACGUAUGCAACCUGCCUUCAACAAGGGGAUAACCCGUUGAAAGACGGACUAAUACCCUAUAACACAGGGGUCCCGCAUGGGAAUAUUUGUUAAAGGACAACCGGUUGAAGAUGGGCAUGCGUUCCAUUAGCUAGUUGGCGGGGUAACGGCCCACCAAGGCAACGAUGGAUAGGGGAACUGAGAGGUUUAUCCCCCACACUGGUACUGAGACACGGACCAGACUCCUACGGGAGGCAGCAGUGAGGAAUAUUGGUCAAUGGGCGAGAGCCUGAACCAGCCAAGUCGCGUGCAGGAAGAAUGUCCUAUGGAUUGUAAACUGCUUUUGCAGGGGAAUAAAGUGAGCCACGUGUGGUUUUUUGUAUGUACUCUGCGAAUAAGGAUCGGCUAACUCCGUGCCAGCAGCC